rnacentral:tRNA from 1 species
GGAUAAUAAAUCGGUUAAAACGAAGAUGGUGUCAAUUGCUCGAAAUCAGUUAGGGAGCAAUCCCCCGCGAGUUCGAAUCUCGCCGUCUCCGCCA